AUUGAACGCUGGCGGCAUGCCUUACACAUGCAGGUCGAACGGUAACAGGUCUUCGGAUGCUGACGAGUGGCGAACGGGUGAGUAAUACAUCGGAACGUGCCCGAUCGUGGGGGAUAACGGAGCGAAAGCUUUGCUAAUACCGCAUACGAUCUACGGAUGAAAGCAGGGGACCGCAAGGCCUUGCGCGGACGGAGCGGCCGAUGGCAGAUUAGGUAGUUGGUGGGAUAAAAGCUUACCAAGCCGACGAUCUGUAGCUGGUCUGAGAGGACGACCAGCCACACUGGGACUGAGACACGGCCCAGACUCCUACGGGAGGCAGCAGUGGGGAAUUUUGGACAAUGGGCGAAAGCCUGAUCCAGCCAUGCCGCGUGCAGGAUGAAGGCCUUCGGGUUGUAAACUGCCUUUGUACGGAACGAAAAGACUCUUUCUAAUAAAGAGGGUCCAUGACGGUACCGUAAGAAUAAGCACCGGCUAACUACGUG
rnacentral:rRNA from 1 species